rnacentral:tRNA from 1 species
GCCCCCAUCGUCUAGAGGCCUAGGACGCCACCCUUUCAAGGUGGAGAUCACCGGUUCGAAUCCGGUUGGGGGUA